CCUACGGGAGGCAGCAGUGGGGAAUAUUGCACAAUGGGGGAAACCCUGAUGCAGCGACGCCGCGUGAGUGAAGAAGUAAUUCGUGAUGUAAAGCUCUAUCAGCAGGGAAGAAAAGGACGGUACCUGAGUAAGAAGCCCCGGCUAACGACGUGCCAGCAGCCGCGGUAAUACGUAGGGGGCAAGCGUUAUCCGGAUUGACUGGGUGUAAAGGGAGCGUAGACGGCAGUGCAAGUCUGGAGUGAAAGGCGGGGGCUCAACCCCCGGACUGCUCUUGAACCGGUACGGCUGGAGUGCAGGAGAGGUAAGUGUCAUUCCUCGUGUAGCGGUGACCUGCGUAGAUAUUCGGCG
rnacentral:rRNA from 1 species